UGGGGAAUUUUGGACAAUGGGCGCAAGCCUGAUCCAGCCAUGCCGCGUGCGGGAAGAAGGCCUUCGGGUUGUAAACCGCUUUUGUCAGGGAAGAAAUCUUCUGAGUUAAUACCUCGGGAGGAUGACGGUACCUGAAGAAUAAGCACCGGCUAACUACGUGCCAGCAGCCGCGGUAAUACGUAGGGUGCAAGCGUUAAUCGGAAUUACUGGGCGUAAAGCGUGCGCAGGCGGUUUUGUAAGACAGAGGUGAAAUCCCCGGGCUCAACCUGGGAACUGCCUUUGUGACUGCAAGGCUUGAGUGCGGCAGAGGGGGAUGGAAUUCCGCGUGUAGCAGUGAAAUGCGUAGAUAUGCGGAGGAACACCGAUGGCGAAGGCAAUCCCCUGGGCCUGCACUGACGCUCAUGCACGAAAGCGUGGGGAGCAAACAGGAUUAGAUAGCCCUGGUAGUCCACGCCCUAAAACGAUGUCAACUGGUUGUUGGGAAGGUUCCUUCUCAGUAACGUAGCUAACGCGUGAAGUUGACCGCCUGGGGAGUACGGCCGCAAGGUUGAAACUCAAAUGAA
rnacentral:rRNA from 1 species